AGCAUACAAGGCAUACGGCUCAGUAACGCGUAGUCAACCUAACCUAUGGACGGGAAUAACCUCGGGAAACUGAGAAUAAUGCCCGAUAGAACAUUAUGCCUGGAAUGGUUUAUGUUCCAAAUGAUUUAUCGCCGUAGGAUGGGACUGCGGCCUAUCAGUUUGUUGGUGAGGUAAUGGCCCACCAAGACUAUUACAGGUACGGGCUCUGAGAGGAGUAGCCCGGAGAUGGGUACUGAGACACGGACCCAGGCCCUAUGGGGCGCAGCAGGCGAGAAAACUUUGCAAUGUGCGAAAGCACGACAAGGUUAAUCCGAGUGGUUUCUGCUAAAGAAACCUUUUGUCAGUCCUAGAAACACUGAUGAAUAAGGGGUGGGCAAGUUCUGGUGUCGGCCGCCGCGGUAAAACCAGCACCUCAAGUGGUCAGGAUGAUUAUUGGGCCUAAAGCAUCCGUAGCCGGCUCUGUAAGUUUUCGGUUAAAUCUGUACGCUCAACGUACAGGCUGCCGGGAAUACUGCAGAGCUAGGGAGUGGGAGAGGUAGACGGUACUCGGUAGGAAGGGGUAAAAUCCUUUGAUCUAUUGAUGACCACCUGUGGCGAAGGCGGUCUACCAGAACACGUCCGACGGUGAGGGAUGAAAGCUGGGGGAGCAAACCGGAUUAGAUACCCGGGUAGUCCCAGCUGUAAACUAUGCAAACUCAGUGAUGCAUUGGCUUGUGGCCAAUGCAGUGCUGCAGGGAAGCCGUUAAGUUUGCCGCCUGGGAAGUACGUACGCAAGUAUGAAACUUAAAGGAAUUGGCGGGGGAGCACCACAAGGGGUGAAGCCUGCGGUUCAAUUGGAGUCAACGCCGGA
rnacentral:rRNA from 1 species